GGCGACGUGGCCAAGUGGUCUAAGGCGUCGGUUUGCAAAACCGAUAUUCACCGGUUCGAAUCCGGUCGUCGCCU
rnacentral:tRNA from 1 species